CACGUAGGGGGCAAGCGUUGUCCGGAUUUAUUGGGCGUAAAGAGCUCGUAGGUGGUUCGGUAAGUCGGGUGUUAAACCCCCAGGCUCAACCUGGGGACGCCACUCGAUACUGCUGUGACUAGAGUCCGGUAGGGGAGCGUGGAAUUCCUGGUGUAGCGGUGAAAUGCGCAGAUAUCAGGAGGAACACCGGUGGCGAAGGCGGGUCUCUGGGCCGGAUGACUGACGCUGAGAGCGAAAGCGUGGGGAGGCGAACAGG
rnacentral:rRNA from 1 species